GAUGAACGCUGGCGGCGUGCCUAAUACAUGCAAGUCGAGCGAACGGACGAGAAGCUUGCUUUUCUGGUGUUAGCGGCGGACGGGUGAGUAACACGUGGAUAACCUACCUAUAAGACUGGGAUAACUUCGGGAAACCGGAGCUAAUACCGGAUAAUAUUUUGAACCGCAUGGUUCAAAAGUGAAAGACGGUCUUGCUGUCACUUAUAGAUGGAUCCGCGCUGCAUUAGCUAGUUGGUAAGGUAACGGCUUACCAAGGCAACGAUGCAUAGCCGACCUGAGAGGGUGAUCGGCCACACUGGAACUGAGACACGGUCCAGACUCCUACGGGAGGCAGCAGUAGGGAAUCUUCCGCAAUGGGCGAAAGCCUGACGGAGCAACGCCGCGUGAGUGAUGAAGGUCUUCGGAUCGUAAAACUCUGUUAUUAGGGAAGAACAUAUGUGUAAGUAACUGUGCACAUCUUGAAGGUACCUAAUCAGAAAGCCACGGCUAACUACGUG
rnacentral:rRNA from 1 species